GAGAGAGGGACCAAGCAAGCGGAAGGUGCAGAGAGAGGGGGACAGAGGAUCCGAAGCGGGCUCCACGCUGACAGCAGAGAACCUGAUAUGGGGCUCAAACUCACGAACUGUGAGAUCAUGACCUGAACUGAAGUCAGACGCUUAACCGACUAAGACACCCAGACGCCCCCAUAAAGACAAUAUUUUCAAAGAAGAUUUGGCAACAGAGCCCUGAUAAAAUGUCAAGUUCAAAGGUAAGAUGGGGACUUGUCCAAUCAUGAUAACUCAGAACUGCCCGGUGUUUUCUACGCAUCUGGCUGGUACGGAUGUGACAUAUAUAUCACCUCACUUAAACCCCUAGCAACCCUAUGAGGCAGAUGCUAUGAUUCUAAUUUUGCAGGUGAAAGAAUGUGCACAGGAAGCAAUUUGUUCAGGUUACAGAGCCAGUGAGCGGUGGGACCAGGUUUCAGACCUGGAGUCAGGCUCCGGAGGCCACACUUGUAACCUUGACCCACACAGCCUCUCACUGCCUGUGGGGCAGGAGCCCACAGGGCGGUGCGUGUGUGUGUGUGUGUGUGUGUGUGUGUGUGUGUGUGUGUGUAGUUUUGGUGAAACCUCCAAAAGAGUGUUAGUGGUUAUGCCUGGGUGGUGGUUUGUAUUUUCUUCUUUACCUUUUUUCGCUAAUUCCUCAAGCAUUUGCAGCAAGCAGUACUUUUAAGGAGCCAGUGAUGAAAGGCGACAGCAGCAGUUUCCCGAAAUUACAGGUAGAGGGGGGUAGGUGGUUAUUCUCCACUUGGUCUGUCUGGGGCCAGAAGAGUGCCCGCGUGAGGUGGCGACUUGGGCAGCCCAGUGUGCGGACUUGUGGGUCUUGGCUGAGCACAGCGUAACCGUCAAUGCUGGCCUCUCUUCUCCAAGUCUUCAACCCCCUGAGAGAAGGGUGUCUGGGGAACGUGUAAACUUCUGCGGGGAGUUUUACAACGUGUGACUCUUCAGUAAUGAAUAUGCUUUCAUUUAUUUAUUAAAAAAAUUUGUUUUAAAUGUUUAUUUAUUUUUGAGAGAGAGAGAGAGAGAGAGAGAACAAGCAAGGGAGGGGCAGAGAGAGGGAAACACAGAAUCCAAAGCAGGCUCCAGGCUCCGAGUUUCGGUACAGAGCCCAAUGCGGGGCUCGAACCCACAAGCCGUGACAUCAUGACUUGAGCCAAGGUCGGCCGCUCAACCGCCUGAGCCACCCAGGCACCCCAAAUAUGCUUUCAUUUAAAAAGAGAUGUGGGGUGCCUGAGAUUUUAGGUCACUCUUAUAUUUCUUCUUAAUGUUCAAAAACACUUCUUCGCAUCAAUCAUUUGUCUUUUUCUACCAUGAGUCGUUUUCAUCUGGGAAGCAUAACCCAACCUACUGGAGAGUAUUAAGACUUUUCUCUUUAGCGUUGGUGAAUAUACUAUGAAAAAUGUAAUACAUUUGGGGCUAAAUGACAGCAGAUACUUAUUGAAUCUUGUAAGGAACUGGGCUGGAUGCUUCGGGGACCUCCCUUCUGCCCAAGACUCCCUGACACAUCAUUCCUGCCCACAGAUCGCUUUAAUCUACUUUGGGAACCAGGAGAUAUAUAAAAACGUUUCAAGACAGCAUGUGCCAACUGCAUGGCACAGAUGGAUUUAACCCAACCAGUAACCCUGACAGGAAGGAGGACACAUUCCAUUCAAUAAACCCAUAUACAGCAUCUACUUCUGUAAGUACUUUCCCAAGGGCUGGGUGAACAGGAGAAUAGAUCAUGGGUCCUUUCUUUCAGGGGUUUUAGGAGGUAGUUAGUUACAUUUGUACCCAACUGUAACACAAGGCAGAAUGUGAUAAGCACUACCAUAGAGGUCCAAAUGCUAAGUGCUAAAAAAAAAAAAAAAAAGAAAAGUGGGGGGUGCCUGAGUGGCUCAGUCAGUUACGCGUCUGACUCUUGAUUUUGGCUCGGGUCAUGAUCCCAGGGUCGUGGGAUUGGGCUCCGUGCUAGGUGUGGAAGUCACACCUUAAGAUUUUCUGCUUGAGAUUUUCUCCCUCUCUCUCUCCCUCUGCCUCUCCCCUCUCAUUUUCUCCCUCUCUCUCUCUCAAUAAAAAAAGAAAAGAAGAGGAAAGAAAAGAAAAGAGAAGAAAAGCGAAGAGAAAACAAAAGAAAUGCUAAGUGGACCAGGAGGGGAGGAAUUUAUUAAAGCUGUGGGGUCUGGGAGGACCUCAUGGCCGUGUGAGUCCUGGUUGGACAGGUAGGAUUUUGUCAGGUAGAAACGGGAGGAGGACCAUUUGUUCGACUGCAGUUCAGGAUGCGUAGGAAGAGACGGUGAGGGUCAAGGUGGAAAACUGUCUCCAAGAUGGCGCCCAAUGAUCCUCAACUCCUGCUGUUCAUGUUCUUUUGUAGUCCUCCGGCAUUGUCUCAGGGGCGGUCUGUGUGACCAACGGAACGUGGUGGAAGUGAUGGUGUGUGACUUCUAAGACUGUGCCACAGAAGAUGUUGCCACUUCCCUUGCUGUUCUGUGGACUGCCUGCUGUGGGGAAAGCCAGCUGCCUUGUGGUGACGACACCCAGCAGCCUAGGGAUAGACCCGCGUGGGGAAGGAACUGAAGCCUCCCGCCACGAGCCAGCACCAACCCGCUCCUACUGUCUGUGUGAACCAGCCUUCUUGGAAGCUGAUCCGCUAGAACUGGGUCAGAGCUCCAGGUGACCGCAGUCCCAGCUGAUAUCCUGACUGGAAUUUAGGCGAGACCUUGAGCCAGAACCGCUCAGCUAAGACGCUCCUGAUUUUCUGACCCACAGUGACUGAGAGACAGCAGGUGUUCUCUUGAUGCUUUAAGGCUUUGGUUUUGGGAGUCGUUUCAUAGACAGCAAUAGACACACGUACAGAAACGAAGGCUUGGAGAAGAGUUUGGGAAGAGCCUUCGUUUUCAAGGCGCCACGCUUGUAUGCAAUGGGGGCGAUGUGUUUUUAAAGGCGUAAAAGAUGAUGAUGACUGUGAGGAUGUGUGUAACCUAAGUUGGCGAAAGGAGUGCCGGAGCAGGAAGAAAAUUUAAGAGGCCACCGCAGUCGUCCAGACGAGAGGUAAUGAGAGAGCGGAAGCGGAGGCACCGCUGGGGGACCAGAGAAUGGCGCGUCAACGCAGGGGGGUGAAGGCGAAGAAGUCAUGAAGGUGACUCCUGGGUUUUGAGCCCAGGAACACGGGGGAGCCAUGAUCUCAUUUACCCAAAGAGGAAACACAGAAGGGAGCCCGCGUGGGUAGGAGUCAAGAAGUGGGGGUGUCUACCUCCUGGCGAGGAGAGCUCCCUGUGUCCAGAGCUCCGCGGAGGGCCGGCCACCAAGGCUCCUUCACAGAUCGGGCUGGUCGAGAAACCUCUCCCUGAAGGACGAGGCUGUUCCAUUUCACAGCACAUCUUCCUCACUGCCAAGUGUUCCCUGGUGACAGCCUCUGCCAUCGAUAUUUUUAGCAUGUGGCCUUUCUGAGCCUGAAAAACAACAUCCACUUCCUGGAACUUCUCUUCCAGCUGACAGCCAGUGACCCACGCGGGCGGGAGCUUCAGCUGGGCCCGACAGGCGACAGUCUGCCACUCUGCUAGGGGAGAGGAAGGCAGGCCGCAAGUUGGGCACGAAGGCCUCCACCCCGCUCCCUUCUGUCCUGCUCUUGAGGCCUAACGACGUCAGUGCACGUCAGAAGCUGAAAAGUAAGGAAGCCUGUGAAUAAAGCCCAAGAGGCAGGAAGCUUCUCCUGCAAUUUCCUUCUAUGACAGCUACAUCCAGUCUGAAGGCCUCCCUGUGCCCUGAGACGCAACGAUAUUGAAAUAAGGCCAGUGAGUCACCCGACAGCGGCCUUUAAGUGCUCAAAUGGAAGGAAGAGUCGUAUGUCUCUCACCUUAAAUGAAAAGCUAGAAAUGAUGAAGCUUCGUGAGAAACGUGUGUUGAAAGCCGAGACAGGCUGAAAGCGAGGUCUCUUGGGCCCCACCGGCAGCCGAGUUGCGAAUGAAAAAAGAAAGUUAUUGAAGGCCCUUAAAAGUGCGGCUCUAGUGACCACACAAAUAAGAAAGUGAAGCAGCCUUAUUGCUGAUGUGGAGGAAGUCUGAGCGGUCUGGAUAGAAGGCCAAACCAGCCACAGCGUUCCCUGAAGCCAAAGCCUGAUCCAGAGCAAGGCUUAGCUCUCUGUAAGCAGAGAGAGGUAAGGAAGCCACUCAAGUUUAAAACCAGCAGAGGUGGGUUCGUGAGGUUUAAGGAAAGAGGCCGUCUCCGUAACAUGAAAGUACAAGGUGAAUCUGUAAGCACUCGUGUAGAAGCUACAGCAAGUUCUCCAGAAGAUCUGCCGAAGAUAAUUCAUGAAGGUGGCACACUCCAGAACAGACUUUCAGUGUAGGCCAAAGUGCCUUCUGUUGGAAGAAGAUGCCACCGAGGACUUUCAGAGCUGGAGAGGAGAAGUCAAUGGCUGCCUUCAAAGCUUCAAAGGACAGGCUGACUCUCUCGUUAGGGGCCAGUGCAGCUGAUCACUUGAAGCUGAAGUCAGUGCACAUUGUCCAUUCCAAAAAUCCUGGGGCCCUUAAGAACUGUGCUAAAUCUGCUCUGUCUGUGCUCUAUAAGUGGAUCAGCGAAGCCUGGAGGACAGCACAUCUGUUUACAACAUGGCUUACUGAAUAUUUGAAGCUACUGUUGAGAUCUUCUGGUCAGAAAAAAAGAUGCCUUCCAACAAUUCUGCUCAUUGACAAUUCACCUGUCACUCAAGAGCUCUGAAGGAGUUGUACAAGGAGAUUAAUGUUUUUUUAUUUGGAUUAAUGCUGUUUUCAGGCAUGCUAAUGCAACAUCCAUUCUAUAGCUCAUGAAUCGAGAAGUAACUUUGACUUAGGAGUCUUAAGAAAUACAUCUUGUAAGGCUAGAGCUGCCAUAAAUAGUGAUUUCUCUGAUGGAUCUGGGCAAAGUCCAUUGAAAAUCUUCUGGAAAGGAUUCACUAUUCUAGAUGCCAUUAAGAACAUUCACGAUUCGUGGGAGGAGGUCAAAAUAUCAACACGCACAGGCGGUUGGCAGAAAUUGACUCCCACCCUCCUCUCAUCUCCCUGCAUAGUUCUGGGUUAGUGUGGACUACAGGAGGCAUUUGACAUGAGGUUGGAAGGUCGACGCGAACCAGCAGCCAUCUUUUUAUGCUUAGCAGUUAGGCAGGGCACAUGGCUCUCUGGCACACACAUUCUUGCCUAUCUGCUGGCUCAACCAGUUGACUUAGGGCAGUUGGCUGGGCCCUCAGUUCUUGCAGCUUGUUCUAGGAACUCCUUCAGCUUCUCUGACUGGACUGUGACGAGGCUACCAGAUUCUCCGGCGGAAAGCCGCAGUCAUUGAGGUUUGGGCUUAAAGUCGGUGUGUGAAAGAUAUGGGUUCCAGCCUGUCCUCGUGGUUUCCUCACAGAUUUUCGCGUCUGUCCAGUUCUUGCUUCCCCCGCUUCAUGUGCCUCUCUACCUGCCCCUGUUUGCCUGUCGGCUUGCCCUUUUGGAUUUGAGGCUUCAGCACCAAAUG